rnacentral:ncRNA from 1 species
GGUCGGGUGGCACGCAGCUAUACAGGACCUGAAAGGGAAAAUCUGCGGGCGGCCCUACGACCGUGUUCGAAUGCCCGGCCGCCUCUCU